rnacentral:pre_miRNA from 1 species
AAUAAUCUCAUUUUUCGUUUUUUCGUGUUCAACGUUUGACCAUUUGUUUUAUUUAAAAAUUUUGUACAAAAUCUUAAAAAAAAUUUAAAAAAUUAGUCAUGUAUAAAGUACUAUUCAUAUUUUAUCAUCUAGUAAUAAUAAAAAUAUUAAUCGCAAAAAAUUUCAAAUAAGACGAAUGGUCAAACGUUGGACACGGAAAAAC